CGAAAACCAAAGAGGGGCUGGGGAUGUAGAGUGUUCGCCUAACAUGUGCACGACCCUGACUUUGAUCCCCGUAAAACACACACACACACACACACACACACAAAAGAAAGAAGAGAAAAAAAGAAAGAAAGGAAUUUGGAUUUUUUUUUUUUUUUUUAGUGGUGCUGGGGAUUGAACUCAGAAAUUUGCAAGCACAAGCCAUAGACUUGGAAAAAAUAUUUCCAAAUCAUAUAUCUGAUUAAGGACUUGUAUACCAGGUCUGGACAACCUCAUGUCCACCAAGACUAUGAAAUAGGCAUCAUGAUUUCCCCUCUACAGGAACAGAGAGUGGUGCUCAGGGACAUGUAGGGCCUUGUCCAAGGUCCCAGUUUUUUUUUUUAACCCAGGGGCACUUAACCACUGAGCCAUGAUCCCAGCCCUUUUCUGUAUUUUAUUUAGAGACAGGGUCUCACUGAGUUGCUUAGGGCCUCACUAACUUGCUGAGGCUGGCUUUGAACUUGCAAUCCUCCGCCUCAGCCUCCCGAGCUGCUGGGAUUACAGGAGUGGGCCUCCAUACCUGGCCAAGGUCCCAGUUCUUAAACACAGUCACAACCAGGAUCAGAGCACAUCUGGCUCUGAAGCACUGGUACUUGAUCUUGGCUACAUAUUUAGAAAUACCUAGAAGGUUUUAUAAAGUUACAUGCUGAGGUCAAACUCCUGCCCAACUAAAUCAGAAUCUCUCAAUGGUAUUUAAAAAAAAAAAUUCUCCGGGUAAUUCCAAUGUACAACCAACUUUAAAAACCACUGAUUUAAAACAAAGACUCUUUUUCAUUUUUCAGCCAGAAUUUCUCAGUCAGGAUGCUCAUUAAUAAGAGGGAAGUCCCAAGCCCCCUCCUGCAAAUGCUGACCUGGCCCCCUGGGGUGGGAUCUAGCAAUUCCUGUUUUCUACAAUCACCCCGGAUGAAGGUUAUAACUAGACAAGGGCUACUAGAAACCCGUCCAGUGCAGCCUGGCUGCUGUCCCCCGAGAUGCAUGACCAAGAACUGAGAGAUAAUCUAGAAGCAGAUGCCAGGGGUGGACUUGGCCAGGAGCAGCGGAGGCAGGGUGUGAGAGCAAGAGGGCAAGAGAGUUAACCACCCAGUCUCUUUGUAGCCACAUAACUUGCUCCUUAAAGGCAGCCCCUCCCCAGCCACUCCCACCCCAGAACAGUCCAACUUGAAUCAACAGCAGAAAGGCUGUUGGAGACUCUCUGGGGUAGAAGGGAUGGCCUGGAGGGCAGGGGGCGGGAGAGAGGCCCACUUGCUGCAGGACGCCUGAAUGGAUUUAUUCUACAGGGACCAACAAAGAAGGAGCCUUGGAAAAAGAAUGUGAAUCCAAUUAAAUCCUCCCCUCUGCCACCACAUGGAGAAGCACCUGUUCUUGCUAGACAGAGCCACUGGGCCCAGGCCAUUAGGGGCUGCCUCUCUCUCUUUCCUUGAAAGACAAUUGUUGGGAGCCGGCCAGCUCCUAGGGGACACAGGAGGCCUCAGAGGAGGAGGAAACUCCAGGAAGACACAGAUGGACUCUUGAGCCCAGAUCAGGUUUUUAACAGCUUUGCUCUCCUUCUUGGUGCUUCCCAAAGCCAAGCCCUGAGCGAAAACAGAGGCAUUGUCUUGUGUCUGGAAGGAGACAGAGGGGACAUUUAAAGGCUGGCCCGGUGACAGUGACGGACAGCUCAUUCAAGGACUCAGCAGCACAGGCUCUUUUCUUACCAGCAAGCAGGGCAUAAGAUGAAUAGCAGGGCCAGCCCAGGGGGUCUCCGCAGUCCCCCUCCCUUGGGAGACAAGUGCUACAGGGGGCUUCCCCAAGUAGGGCUGAGCAGGGCUGUCUCCAAGAGGGCCCAGAAGGGGCAGGAGCAGUGUUGCUGCCGCCUGGACGUUGGGGGGGGGGAUUGCUCUCCCCUCCCCCGUGGGAACUAAGAGACGCAGAAGCUUGCAGGACACCUCUACAGGGCCACCCAGACACAGGACGCACAGAUCUGGAUGCUUGGGUUGGACCAGAAGUGCAAGUCCCCAUGUCCUGGAGGAAGGAGUCGGACUGGAACCUUCACAGACCAUGCAAACAAAACUCUCCUGAGCAGGGAGAAUGAGCAAAGCCAUUCCUGAAGAGAACCUGCCGUGGCUUAAGAGAAAGCGCUGCCCAAGCUGGAUGGGGACCAAGAAGUGGGAAGGAGGGGUGGCGGGUGCAAUAAGGACAUGAAAACAUCUUCCUCUUCCUGUUCCCUGAGACUGUGGGUCCCUGCAUGGCAGAGGGAUGCAGGAGGGGGGGCUUCUCAUGUCCUUGUGCAACUUCUGUAGUUCUGGGACCUAAGGGUUUUGCUGGACCUUCCGAAGGGCAGAGCUUGGCCAGGCAUGGUGGCGCAGGCCUGUAAUCCCAGUGGCUCAAAAGGCUAAGGCCAGAGGAUUGCAAGUUCAAAGCCAGCCUCAGCAACUUAGAGAGUCCCUGAGUAACUCAGGGAGACCCUGUCUCUAAAUAAGAUUAAAAAUAAAAAAGGCUGGGAGGGAUGAGGAUAUAGCUCAGUUGGUAGAGGGCUCCUGGGUUCACUCCCCAGCACCACACAAACAAACGAACAAAACUAAAAAUAAAAAGGCUGGGAAUGUAAUUCAGUGGUUAAGUGCCCCUGGUUCAAUCCCAAGUACCCAUCCCCACCAAAAAGGCAGAUCUCCCUGGCAAUCUCCCUUUGUCACCUGUCCCUCCUUCCAGGAAAGCACUAAGGUCCCCACCAGGAGCAUGGAGAAUGAGAGCAGGGAAGGGUGGGAGGAGGUCCCAGAACUGGGGAGUGACCAGGUCUGAGCAUCUGCUCCGCUGAGAAGACAGUGGACUCCCUGGGCCCAAACAGAGAAGGGGCCCAACACCCACUCUGUCACCUGCUGAGUGUGUGACCGUGAC
rnacentral:lncRNA from 1 species